rnacentral:rRNA from 1 species
UCUUGGUUGAUCCUGCCGGAGGUCACUGCUAUUGGGAUUCGACUAAGCCAUGCGAGUCGAGAGGGUUCGGCCCUCGGCAGACGGCUCAGUAACACGUGGAUAAUCUGCCCUUAGGUGGAGGAUAACCUCGGGAAACUGAGAAUAAUACUCCAUAGAUCUAGGAGGCUGGAAUGCACUUAGAUUAAAAGUUCCGACGCCUAAGGAUGAGUCUGCGGACUAUCAGGUUGUAGUCAGGGUAAAGACCUGACUAGCCUACAACGGAUACGGGUUGUGAGAGCAAUAACCCGGAGACGAUAUCUGAGACACGAUAUCGGGCCCUACGGGGCGCAGCAGGCGCGAAACCUUCACAAUGUGCGAAAGCACGAUGAGGGAAUCCCAAGUGCUUGCUCGUAAGAGUAAGCUGUUUUUAUGUCUAAAAAGCAUAGAGAGUAAGGGCUGGGUAAGACGGGUGCCAGCCGCCGCGGUA